GUCAAGAGUAGCUAAUAUUAAGUGCCGGUCUUGUAAACCGGCGAUAAGCCCAAUCUUCCUUGACU
rnacentral:tRNA from 1 species